AGGAUUUUAAGUUAUAUUUAAACUAAUAACCUUCAAAGUUAUAAUUACUUUAAGGUAAAUCUUA
rnacentral:tRNA from 1 species